rnacentral:rRNA from 1 species
CAGCAGCCGCGGUAACACGAAGGGUGCAAGCGUUAAUCGGAAUUACUAGGCGUAAAGCGUGCGUAGGCGGUUUGUUAAGUCUGUUGUGAAAUCCCCGGGCUCAACCUGGGAAUGGCAAUGGAUACUGGCAAGCUAGAGUGUGUCAGAGGAUGGUGGAAUUCCCGGUGUAGCGGUGAAAUGCGUAGAGAUCGGGAGGAACAUCAGUGGCGAAGGCGGCCAUCUGGGACAACACUGACGCUGAGGCACGAAAGCGUGGGGAGCAAACAGGAUUAGAUACCCCAGUAGUCCCUGUCUCUUAUAC